AUUAGCUGGGCAUGGUGGCGCGUGCCUGUAAUCCCAGCUACUCAGGAGGCUGAGGCAGGAGAAUUGCCUGAACCCAGGAGGUGGAGGUUGCCGUGAACGGAGAUCGCACCAUUGCACCCCAGCCUGGGUAACAAGAGCGAAACUCCAUCUCAAAAAAAAAAAAAGAGCAACUUCCUGGAGGCGACGGCAAGGCAGCCACUGGACCAGGGCCGGAGCCGCCCCUCACAGCUCUGCUUCAGGCUCCCGUGUGGGCGUGUAGUGGGACAUGGCGAACUCGAGCUGCAAGGACGUCCGACCCUGAUGAGGAGAGUUUUCUGUACUUCGCCUACGGCAGCAACCUGCUGAUGGAGAAGAUCCACCUUGGACACCCCUUGGUGGCAUUCUUCUGUCUGGCCCCUGUGCAGGCAAGAAGGGGUUAAAAGUGGAACAUAUGUUGUAAUGGAAGUUAAAGUUUCAACUCGAGAAGGAAGAGAAAUAACCUGUCGAAAUUAUCUGAUAACAAAUUAUGAAAGUGUUCCUCCAUCCCCACAGUAUAAAAAGAUUAUUUGCAUGGGUGCAAAAGGAAAUGGUUUGCCACUGGAGUAUCAAGAGAAGUUAAAAGAAAUAGAACCAAUUGACUCUACAGGAAAGGCCUCAGAAGAAAUUGAAGACAUCAUCAAGAAGGGGGAAACACAGACUCUUUAGAACAUAACAAUAUAUCUAAGGGCAUUCUAUGUGCGAAAAUAAAAUAUUAUUAACACUUGAGAACAGGGAUCUGGGGGAUCUCCAUGUCUGAUCCAUUUUCAACAGUGCUCUGAAGGAAUAUCUCUCUUGGGUGAUUCCUUGUUUUCAGACUACAAAAAGAAACUGGGCUAGGAGUUAGAUAAUGUAAAAGGGGGAUAUGAGGCCCUGAAAUGUGUGACAAAUGAAUGUGAAUACCCCUUCUGUAAACAACACCGAAAGCUCUUAUCUUGGCUUGAUCUUAAGUGUCUCCUUACUCUGGUACAGGAGAGAUUUGUAGCUUGCUUGAUGACGGUGCUGGUGAAAUGCUCUGAUCUGAGAUUUUUAAAAAUCAGCUUAAUGAGAGUAAUCUGCAGGUAAUUGAUAAUAACAUUUUGAAAAUUGAAAAGAUGGUAUACUGUUUCUAGAGGAAUAAACAUAAUUGUGGUUAAAAAAAGCAACUUCAUCUGCAUUGUAUACGUUUUUGUAUUGGAAUUUUGUACUAUGUUCACA